rnacentral:rRNA from 1 species
ACAACUUUCAGCGAUGGAUGUCUAGGCUCCCACAACGAUGAAGAACGCAGCGAAAUGCGAUACGUAAUGCGAAUUGCAGGACUUCGUGAAUCAUCAAAACUUUGAACGCACAUUGCGCUUCCGGGAAAUGCCCGGUAGCAUGCCUGGUUGAGUGUUCGUGGACCCCCCUCGGCUGCCAAGUUGUCUGUCCU